CUUGAAGGAGUUUAGAUGAUCCAGCUUGGGCAGGAAAGAGGCUCAGGAGGUUUCUGUACUGAGCCUGGACCAUGAUCUGAAAGGUCAUAGCAACUUCAGUGAUCCACUUCCAGAUCGGUCCAGGUCCUUCAGAAGCUCGUACCCCCACCUCUCCACCACCAACAUCUUCAGGGACUCCCCGCCCUUCUUCACUAGGGCCACCACGUCCUCCAGAUACUCCUCCUCCACAUUCAUCCCAUUCACCUCCACCACCACAUCACCCUCAAAGAGUCCGACCUUCUCGCCGGGACCUCCUGCUGCCACCUGCAGGACAGUUGUCUCAAAAAGCCCCUUAAACUCGGUGCCAAAAUACAGCUUGAAAAACAAAGUUUUCCUGGAGAUUACAAGUG